UGAUAGAUUGAUAGAUUCUUGUUGUCUCGAAUAAUUAAGGGCUACGGGGAGAAUGCGGCUACCACUUUCUCUGGAAGUUCAUUCCACACAGGCUCGUGUGUUAUAGUGACAGGCAGCUGGAAGCUCGGGCUGUGUUUUUGCAGCAGAACGUAGAUCAUCAGUCGCCAUUUCCGCCACCUCCACUGAGAUGCUGCCAGACACAGGUUCCCGUCCCCUCCAUUAACAGCUAUGCACCCUCCCCAGCCAGGAUAUUAAAUCAGAAUUAUUGAGGCUAGAAACUCAAAAGCAAGUUUUUACAGUCAAUGGAGUCAUCGGGAUCUGAAUAUCAUUUGCAUUUGACUGUGGACGGAGAAAGGAUGAGGCUGUCACUGGCUCGGCCAGCAUUUAUUGCUGCGUUUACCCAGUGGGCAGUUAAGAAUCAACCACGUUGCUAUAGGUCUGGAGUCCCAUGCAGACCAGACCAGAUCCCAGUGAUCAGUGCCAAAGCCCCAUUGCCUGUGGAGAGGGUGAUGUUUGAUUUCCCUGUCCAGCUGCAGUUCAUGUGGUGAAGGUGCUCCCACAAUGUGGUUGGGUCACCGUUCAGCCUCUGAUGCUCCAAGGAAAGCAGCCUAUCCAAACCUGGCAACAUCCUAUAAUUAUUUUCUGACCCCUUUCAAGUUUGAGAACAUCCAUCUGAUCGGAAGGAGACCAGAAUUGCAUGGAAUAUUACAAAAGUUGCCGAAUCAAUGUCCUGUACAGCCUCAGUAUGACCUCUCAAUGCUGUGACCAAUAAAGGCAAGCAGACAAACUGCCGCCCUUCACUAUUCUAUCUACUUGCUACUUUACUUUCAAGGAACUAUGAACCUGCACUCCAAGGACUCUUUGUUUAGCAGCACUCCCUAGGAACUUACUAUUAACUGUAUAAGUCCUGCUAAAGUAUGUUUCGUGAUGUUUAACUUCUCAAAUUGGACUGGAGUUUAAUAUUCUGGAGAAAUGUCAAAUAAAUCGCAUUUAUCCCA